UGAUGAGAAUUGGUGAAAAAAGGGAAAGAGUCUGAGAAAAAUGGAAGGUCUCCACUUCCAUCAUUUGAAGAGACUAUUUCUGAGGUUGAAUGUGUGUGGAAAGUUGUGGUGCCGAAUGAAUAUAGUUCCGAAGACAUAGAAUCAAAAAAUUCUAUUGAAUUGAACUCCUUUUUAAUGUGAAUCAGUAUCCAGCCUUUGCGCACGACUGCAGAGACUAAUUCCUCGAACCGGAUAGGAUCACAAAGGAUCAAAUCUCUCCCUCUGAGUAUUUUCUUUGUGAAGCUACACUUUGGACUGAAUGAUGGUAAUCCUUGUUGAACAAGGAGACAAAAGUGGUACUUUUGUGUGUCUGUGUUUUUUAUGGUGACGUUGCCAAAACCACAGAUUGAGACUUGAGAUUUGAGACCAGUCCAUCACAGCUUGAGUUUUUGCUGUGAUUUAUAACAAUUCAUUCUUGCCAAUUUGCCAUUUUGUCCCUUUCUUUUUUAUAUUCUCUAAAGUUACCUGGUGGGACCUUUU
rnacentral:lncRNA from 1 species